GACGAACGCUGGCGGCGUGCUUAACACAUGCAAGUCGAACGGAAAGGCCCUGCUUUUGUGGGGUGCUCGAGUGGCGAACGGGUGAGUAACACGUGAGUAACCUGCCCUUGACUUUGGGAUAACUUCAGGAAACUGGGGCUAAUACCGGAUAGGAGCUCAUGCUGCAUGGUGGGGGUUGGAAAGUUUCGGCGGUUGGGGAUGGACUCGCGGCUUAUCAGCUUGUUGGUGGGGUAGUGGCUUACCAAGGCAUUGACGGGUAGCCGGCCUGAGAGGGUGACCGGCCACAUUGGGACUGAGAUACGGCCCAGACUCCUACGGGAGGCAGAAGUGGGGAAUAUUGCACAGUGGGCGGAAGCCUGAUGCAGCAACGCCGCGUGCGGGAUGACGGCCUUCGGGUUGUAAACCGCUUUCGCCUGUGACGAAGCGUGAGUGACGGUAAUGGAUAAAGAAGCACCGGCUAACUACGUG
rnacentral:rRNA from 1 species